rnacentral:lncRNA from 12 species
UGCGACAGACGGACAGCUCGCCCCAGGGGCUGCAGCAUCUGCGAUGGAUGGAGAAGCCGCUUUCAAACCCGCUGCACAUUUUCGCACCAUCAUUAGCAUCAAUUUAACCAGACUGCCUUGAACUGGACCAGGCUAAGCUUCUCCUCCCUAACUCUGCUUCUGUCGUGGCACAUCCGUGCUUUCCACAGAAUGGUGACAUAGACUUCACCAAGACACUGAUACCUUUGCUGCAAUUCAUAACCUCUGACACUUCAGCUACUCUUUCACUUCUCCUGGCAUGAUUACAGUGUAAGAGUGCUAUUUUUAGAACUAUUUAUGAAAU